CAAUAGCGUAUAUUAAAGUUGUUGCAGUUAAAAAGCUCGUAGUUGGAUUUCGGGGCCCCGGACGCCCGUUGCGUUUCCUGUUGGAUUCGUCUGGCGGGUGCGUGGCGGUCGUCGGUCUCUGAGUCGGAUCGGUCCGCCGAGAGGCGUGCACUGACCGACGGCCCCUGUUGUCUCUCGGGUUGCCCGCCUGCUCUUAGUUGUUGCGGACGGGGAGUUCGGGACGUUUACUUUGAACAAAUUAGAGUGUUCCAAGCAGGCCAGUUGCUUUGAAUACAUUAGCAUGGAAUAAUGGAAUAGGGCUGCGUGACCUGUUGCCUUAGGGUGGCAGGUCCUCGUGUCCUAUUUUGUUGGUUUUCGGGACCGCAGUCAUGGUCAAGAGGGACAGUUGGGGGCAUUCGUAUUCAGUUGUCAGAGGUGAAAUUCUUGGAUUUACGGAAGACGAGCAACUGCGAAAGCAUUUGCCAAGGAUGUUUUCAUUAA
rnacentral:rRNA from 1 species